AUAUAGAUACCAUAUAAACCAGGCAGCUAGGCAUGCGAUCAUACAUUCAGGGCAAGACAUUCAGACAGCCAGUAUGAUGAAGGUUAUUCUUGUUUUGACAGCUCUUGUGGGCGUGUCAUAUGGACAGAUGAAAUGUCUGUUUUGUGACGGAGCUGCAGAUAUCUCCGACUGUCUGACCAGUAUUAUCGAUUGUGGUACUAAUGAGGUGAGUCGUAAGGGAUUGAAAUUAAUUUUGAUCCUGUAAAUAUGUUCAAACGUAAAUCAGAUUAUAAAAGAAAUUAACUUCCCUUAAAUCCUUUUAGAAUCAGUUCGCCAUAUUGCAUUCAUUUACCACACUCACAGGUCUUGUUUUAACUACAUAUAUUUAUAUAAUUAUGUUUAUUUUGGGAACGCAACGUUUCAUAAUUGCUGUUGAAAUUUGUUUCUUGACAGCUGAUAUCCUUCUCUUCAAUACUGGCUAAAGAAGAAUUUAAUUUCAGUUGGUGUAGCGUCUUGUUUACACCCUCAUUGUUGUAAAAUCUAAUUUAAUGCACAUUCAGAGAAAUGAUUAAUUUAUAUGAUGUAUGCAUAAUUAUCAGUAAAUUCAAGCAGAGCACACAUUUUUGGUAGAUUAAAUAUU